AAUCAUCGAAUCUUUGAACGCACAUUGCGCCCUUUGGUAUUCCGAAGGGCAUGCCUGUUCGAGCGUCAUUAUCACCCCUCAAGCCCCCGGCUUGGUGUUGGACGGUUUGGUGGAGGCCCCCUCGUCGGGGUCGCUGCCCCUCCCAAAGACAAUGACGGCGGCCUCGUUGGACCCCCGGUACACUGAGUUCUUCACGGGACACGUACUGGACACAAGGGUGCGCGGGGCACGGUCUGCCUCCCCUCUAGGGAGAAUUAUCUCAAGGUUGACCUCGGAUCAGGUAGGGAUACCCGCUGAACUUAAGCAUAUCAAUAAGCGGAGGAA
rnacentral:rRNA from 1 species